rnacentral:rRNA from 1 species
GUCUUUUUGUUUUAAAUUUAAAGUCUAACCUGCCCAUUGAUAAUUUUUAAAAGGCUGCAGUAUUUUGACUGUACAAAGGUAGCAUAAUCAUUAGUUUUUUAAUUGAAAACUUGUAUGAAUGGUUGAAUGAGAAAUUAACUUUUUUAAAUAAAGAAUUGAAUUUUACUUUUUAAUUAAAAGGUUAAAAUAAUUUUAAAAGACGAGAAGACCCUAUAGAGUUUUAUAAUGUUAUUUAAUAAGUUAAAAUGGAUAAUUUAAAAUUUUAUAAAUAAAGUUAUUUUGUUGGGGUGAUAAUAAAAUUUAAUUAACUUUUAAUUAAUUAUAACAUUAAUAUAUGAUUAAUUGAUCCAUUAUUAAUGAUUAUAAAUUUAAAUUACCUUAGGGAUAACAGCGUAAUUUUUUUUUAAAGCUCAUAUUAAUAAAAAAUUUUGCGACCUCGAUGUUGGAUUAAGAUUUAAUUUUAGGUGCAGCAGUUUAAAUUUUAAGUCUGUUCGACUUUUAAAUUCUU